UCUUUAUGCGAAAAUAUAGAUCUAUUAGACGGAGAGGUGGGAUUAAGGCGGAAUGCAGAACUCCAACAACAUAGACCAUCUCAUCUGGAAUAUAGAAUUGAGGUUGAAUAGCCUGAGAGCCAAGGAAAAGUAAAGAGGUUACGAAAGCCAAGCAAGCAAGAAGGAAGCUAAUCUUACCCUAUCGUCGCUUGAAACUAUCUAUGGUCAAUCAAGUCUGCUUCUCCGUAAGAAAGCUAGAAAGAGAAAUGAAAAGCAAGCAACCUCCGCGUGAGCAAUCCGGGGUUCGUUCCUAAGACUACGCUCACUGCUAUCUCUGUUCAAGUUCCGGCAUAGGAGAUCUAGUGGUAGGAGAGGGGACAGAGCUUUAGGUCUGCUGUUAACCUUUGGAGUUUAGUGCUGCGCCUGUUCCUAUGAGGGUAUUCAGUAGCUCGCUCCUUCCGCUUGUGCUCUUCCUAUGAUAACAGCUUUAUAGUAGUUAUUGGAUAGGCAAGAUCAUAGCCUUUUUCAAAUGUUUCCAAAACACAGUGACCCUAUGAAGAUAUAGAUGUAUAUUUAGAGUUAGUGUAUAUAGAUCCCUAUACUCUAUAAGUACUCAAAGACGCCCUUGUUUCUUUUUCAUAUCUCUUUCCAAUCUCCAAUAAACAUAUUUUGCAUAUCUCUUUCCAAUCUCCAAUAAACAAGGGGUAGAUCCAUUGGGCAUACACUAACACAUACAAAGCAAGCAAUACAUCUUGAAAAUAAUAAGUGAAUUCGACCGCGCUCUGACGUAAUUGAUUUCUCAUAAGGAUAUUGAAUAGUUACAGGUAAACGGUUUGUGUGGGAUAAGGGAAGGGGAGUAAUCAUCUUUCACCAAUGUACCUUGAUGCUCGUAUUGUUUGUUGACCAUAAUGAAUGAACCCAGUAACCAUGGGGAACAUAUUUUGGAUAUCCAUGAAUCAAUUGUAGUAUCUUUCUCGAAAGAGGUUAUGCAGAUAUAAUAUAGUGUGAGUAUGUAUGUUUUGAAAGAGGUUAUGAAGAUAUAAUAUAGUCAGAGUUUAUGAAGAUAGAAUAUAGUGUGAGUAUGUAUUGUAUGUAGAAUAGGGUAUAGUGAAAAAGUAGUAAGUCAUAUAUUAAGGGUAUAGUGAAAUAGUAGUAAGUCAUAUCUUACCCCAAUAAGUAGGUAACAGAAAUGUCCAUCCAAGAUUCAAUAGCGGGUCCAUUCUUAUCCUAGGUAAAGUAGUCCAUCUUUUUAUGAUGGAAUUAACCAGACACAAAUAAGCUGAAGAUCCUCACGAUUCUAAAAGUCAGGUAAGAAGCCUUAGAAAGAAAAGACUAUGAAGAAGCCAGAGACAUAAACCUAAUAUCCGGUAAGAAGCCUGAGAAAAGAAACCUCUCAUCUUAGAGACCUUUAUAUUCGGUUUGAUAACCUGCUACUAAUUCCUCCUCUGCUUCUGGUAAAUCAAAGGGCAAUCUCUCACAUUCAGCUAGAGAUGAAAGAAAACUAGAAAUACUAUGGGCUGACGCCACUGAUUCCCCAAAGCCAUAUUUGGACUGUGCUGAAACUAUAUAAACUGUUUGGACUGUGCUGAAACUAUAUAAACUUUACUUUGAACUGUGUGUUAGACUAGUCGAUAAUAACAUCCAUCACAGUUUCUCAUCGCCAAACCCAUCGCUAUUCCCGUAGAUGAGACCUCAGCUUCAUACAGCUCUUCUAUGGCAAAAAAUCAAUGGUUGGACUGGAAAGGUAUUAUCACUUUUGGUGUAGAUAGAAGUAAGAGAGUCCCAAAUUCCACCAAUGGCGCUAGAAUAAGAAUCCAGUGCUUCGGCCGCCCCCCCAACUAAUCAACUUGGAUUUGUAUUGGUUCGGUAAACAUAUCUCAAUUACCUUCCAUUUCUUUAAUAAGCAUAUCUCAAUUACCUGAAUUCCAUAUCUUUCAUAAGUGGAAUAACAAGCACAAAUGGGAAUUAGUUCCUGAAUCGUGAUCCGAAUGGAAUCUAUAUGGAUGGGGAAAAACAGAUCUUUGAUUAUGAAAAAGAUUAUGACAUUAUGCUCCUUUUCUUCUAUCUCAGAGGAGGGAGGUGACUUUUCAUAAAUAAAGAAAGGUGUAUUCUCUGGAUAGUCAUAUUUAUUUCAUCAGUGAAUAGUAGCAUACUCCCGAUCUCCAUCGUAGGGAGCUUGAUCAUGUCUACCAACUACAAGUCCCUAUUUGGAUUCGGCAGAAAUAUCUCUCAAUAUACCUUACCUUACAUUAUCUCUCCAUUACUCAUUCUUUGUGAACUUUGGUGUUCGUCCACUGAUUAUUGAUUGAUCUACGGCAGGCCUGGUAAUAAAUAAGAAGUCAGAAAUCCAAUACUGUUUCUCUUUUACACCCGCUUCAAGAUAUGAUUACUAAUGAAAUAAUCUCCAUGUUAGGGUCAACAGUUUACACAGCUUAUGUUUACUUCCACUUUCUUAUCUUCAUGUAUGUAUGUCAAUAGGAAAUGAUAUAAGAUCUUCUUACUUAGCACCAUUUCGAAGUUGUUUUUACUAACAAGGCACACGACUAUAUUAAUUGCAAAAAACGAGUACAAGCCCCUUCUAUCUUCGCAGAAUAAUGAAGCCAACUAAGCCAUACAACACAAAGGAUUUGUUGCUUCUA
rnacentral:lncRNA from 1 species